rnacentral:rRNA from 1 species
UACGAAGGGUGCAAACGUUGCUCGGAAUCAUUGGGCGUAAAGCGCACGUAGGCGGCCUCAUAAGUCGGAUGUGAAAUCCCACGGCUCAACCGUGGAAGUGCAUCCGAAACUGCGAGGCUCGAGUAUGGAAGAGGGUCGCAGAAUUCCCGGUGUAGAGGUGAAAUUCGUAGAUAUCGGGAGGAAUACCAGUGGCGAAGGCGGCGACCUGGGCCAAUACUGACGCUGAGGUGCGAAAGCGUGGGGAGCAAACAGG